AUGUUCUUUUGGAGUCUUAAUUUUUCUCAUCAUCAAGGAAGAGGGUUGAGUCUUUCUUUACCUGCAUUUUCUGGAAAUCAUUUGAUUGAGUCAAGAUGUCAGACACAAAAUUGCAUGAGUGCCUGUCAUUGCUGCAAAAGGGGAUGGUUGGUUUACUCUUGUUUUGAGAUAGCUUCUGGAUGUGACACGGGCAGGAAAAUAACUGCUUCUUGA